AAGUCGUAACAAGGUUACCGUUGGUGAACCAGCGGUAGGAUCAUUACCACAAAAAAUACCUUAUACAAAACAACCCCGCAAAGCGAAAAAUAAUUUUUGGUUUUUCUAACAGAAAAUCAAACGCUGUUUUUUUUAGCUUUUUGUGAACAUAUAGACCCCGUUCUGUAUCUUUGAAAAAAGAUGCGAAUGGACAACCCACCUCGAGUUUUGCCUUGGGUUUUUUUAUUAUUAAGAAAUCCAAGGCAACGUGGGUAAUUUAAACCUUUUAAACCACAUUAAAAACCCUUUUUUUUCUGAAAAACAACCAAUUGAAAUGAAUAAAAAAAAGCCUUAAAAACUUUCUUUUUGCAAACCUCUAUUGGCACACAAAACAAAAACAAAAAACAACUUUUAACGGUGGAUCUCUAGGCUCGU
rnacentral:misc_RNA from 1 species